GACGAACGCUGGCGGCGUGCUUAACACAUGCAAGUCGAACGGAAAGGCCCUGCUUUUGUGGGGUGCUCGAGUGGCGAACGGGUGAGUAACCCGUGAGUAACCUGCCCUUGACUUUGGGAUAACUUCAGGAAACUGGGGCUAAUACCGGAUAGGAGCUCCUGCUGCAUGGUGGGGGUUGGAAAGUUUCGGCGGUUGGGGAUGGACUCGCGGCUUAUCAGCUUGUUGGUGGGGUAGUGGCUUACCAAGGCUUUGCCGGGUAGCCGGCCUGAGAGGGUGACCGGCCACAUUGGGACUGAGAUACGGCCCAGACUCCUACGGGAGGCAGCAGUGGGGAAUAUUGCACAAUGGGCGGAAGCCUGAUGCAGCAACGCCGCGUGCGGGAUGACGGCCUUCGGGUUGUAAACCGCUUUCGCCUGUGACGAAGCGUGAGUGACGGUAAUGGGUAAAGAAGCACCGGCUAACUACGUG
rnacentral:rRNA from 1 species